rnacentral:tRNA from 1 species
UAACUUGUGGGGUAGGAUAUUUGAUCCCUUCAUUUCAUAGAUGGAGCAUCAACAUUAUGGAAGGUGCUAAAACCUUUAUGCGUCAU